rnacentral:rRNA from 1 species
UUGCGUAGGUGGUUUAUCAAGUGAACAGUGAAAGCCGAUGGCUCAACCAUUCGGACUAUUAUUCAAACUGGUAAACUCGAGAGUAGCAGAGGUAACUGGAAUUUCUUGUGUAGGAGUGAAAUCCGUAGAUAUAAGAAGGAACACCAAUGGCGUAGGCAGGUUACUGGGCUAUUUCUGACACUAAGGCACGAAAGCGUGGGGAGCGAACG